UUGGCGCAGGCUGCUGCGUUAUUAAGAAAGAAAGGACUUCUUGGUGUUAAAAUGGAUUCACCAAAGGUUAACAAAAAGAGUUCUCCAAAAGUUGUGAAACAAAGAGCACAAUGGAGUUUGGGACUUGAAAAAGGUCUGGUGGAGAUACUUAUGGAGCACGAUACUCCUUACCACCGAGGGCAAAAUGGAUGGAGCAAGGAAACUUGGAACUUGAUGGUGACAAAAUUCCAU